UACGUAGGGCGCAAGCGUUUAUCCGGAAUUAUUGGGCGUAAAGAGCUCGUAGGCGGUUUGUCGCGUCUGCCGUGAAAGUCCGGGGCUCAACUCCGGGAUCUGCGGUGGGUACGGGCAGACUAGAGUGAUGUAGGGGAGACUGGAAUUCCUGGUGUAGCGGUGAAAUGCGCAGAUAUCAGGAGGAACACCGAUGGCGAAGGCAGGUCUCUGGGCAUUAACUGACGCUGAGGAGCGAAAGCAUGGGGGAGCGAACAGG
rnacentral:rRNA from 1 species